rnacentral:misc_RNA from 1 species
UCUCCGUUGGUGAACCAGCGGAGGGAUCAUUACCGAGUGCAAACUCAUAACCCUUUGUGAACCUAUAUCUGUUGCUUCGGCGGCUCGCCCGCGGGCGAGCCCGCCGGUAAUAUCAGUAUCUCUGUUUGAACCCGACGAUACUUCUGAGUGUUCUUAGCGAACAGUUAAAACUUUUAACAACGGAUCUCUUGGCUCUA